rnacentral:lncRNA from 1 species
GUACCUCCGAGACAAUCCAGGUAUACAAGGUACAAUGAGGUCUGGCCCCAGGGCUGACCUCAGACUGUGCCUUAACACUCUGUGUCUUACUGCAUCAUUUCUGGAAGGUUAUUUCAGAAGGUGGUAAUUACAGAGAGUAAAUUAGGGCUAAAGCAGGAUGAGAACUUGCUUGGAUGUUCUGUUGAGGAAAGAGAGGUGGAAGGAGCAAAGGGCUCAGCACCCAAAACUCUGGGAAUCACUCAACUUUAGAGAAAGAAAGCAAAAGCACUUUUAAAAUGAGUUAAGUGGAAGACGAACAGACAAAUGAGGUAACUUCUAUAAAGAUGGAGGUUGCUUCUGGCUCAUCAGCCAUCGUUGAUGGUAACCAGUCCUACAAUUCUCAUUAGGCAGUUCUGUUACCCCACUAUUUCCUUGGGGUCUGUUGUGCUAAGGACAGGAUUGGUUGGGUAAAGGGGUGUGGCACAAAUAACCCUCAGGAAUACAGGCCACAGAGCUAAUGAAGGGCCCCAAGGAAAGAAAGACCUGCCCAUCAGCGAUGAAUUCUCUCCCCCAGUGCCACAGACCUGAGGGCACGUGACCCAGGAAUGUGCAUCCAAAGAUAAUACUACCUUCAGAGAACUCUACUUAUAGUGGUGAAAUUGAAUCACUGAAGCAGCUGAGGCAGAGAGCUUUUCCUUCAGGAUUCACGGCCUAUUUCUCAGUUCUGGGAAGACAACUCUAACAACUCAACAGAGUGAAGAGAGAUAAAGAUGUUGGGAAUGACUGAUUUCAAACAAUCAAAACUGCUUUGGGGAUGAGGAUGAAGUUGGGACAUUACUGCCUUGUAUACCACAUACUAUAAUAUUUAUUAUGUCUAUUGUUUAUUGUGUGUGUCCUUCUUUAGAAUUUUAACUCCCCAAGGGCAAAGAUCCCUGACUGUUUUGCUUAUCAAUGUAUCCAAAAGGCCUAAAACAGAGCCUUGUACCCUAUACACACUCUGCAAAUAUUUGCUGAAUUGAAUAAAAGGCUGCCGAUCUAUAAACUAUGCUGCUUUCAAAUAAAACUAAGACAAGGACAUUGAUAGCAUAUCCUC